CUCUGUGUGUUAUUUCACUCACCCACAUGGUGGCCGGGCUGGGGCAGCUUGUAGGAAAGAUUUAUCAUUACAAAAGGGAGUGGCACUAUUAGGAGGGGUGGCUUUGCUGAAGUGGUUGUGGUCUUAUUGGAGAAAAUGCGCUACUGUGGAGGCAGGCUUUGAGGUCUUUUUUGUUCAAGCUUCACUCAGUGUAACACACGGACCAUUUCCUGUUGCCUGCAAGCUAAGAUAUAGGACACUCAUCUACUUCUCCAGUACCAUGUCUGCCUGCUCAGGAUACCACCCAGUGUGUCAGUCCACUUCCUGUUGCCUGCAAGACUGUCAGCUAUUCCUCCAGAACAUGCCUGCAUGUUGCCAUGCUCCCCGCCAUGGUGAUAAUGGACUGAACCUCUGAAACUGUAAGUACGUCCCCUCAAUUAAACGUUUUCCUUAUAAGAGUUGCCG
rnacentral:lncRNA from 1 species